rnacentral:rRNA from 1 species
UACGAAGGGGGCUAGCGUUGUUCGGAAUCACUGGGCGUAAAGGGCGCGUAGGCGGCUUUGUAAGUCGGGGGUGAAAGCCUGUGGCUCAACCACAGAAUUGCCUUCGAUACUGCAUGGCUUGAGACCGGAAGAGGUAAGUGGAACGGCGAGUGUAGAGGUGAAAUUCGUAGAUAUUCGCAAGAACACCAGUGGCGAAGGCGGCUUACUGGUCCGGUUCUGACGCUGAGGCGCGAAAGCGUGGGGAGCAAACAGG